rnacentral:lncRNA from 1 species
UCCAAAUGGCACAGUUGCCUUCAGUUAAUUUUCACUUAGAUCUUAACCUUCUCAGUUUAUUUCCACUUGAACUCUGGAUAUUAAAGUCGAAAUAAUGCUUUGUGACCUUUAAGCAGAACACCAGCUGCUUCUCCACCCUUUCCCCUGUGGUUUAGUGACCCACACAGUCCAGUUCUGCAAUAGCCUUUUUCUGGAGUUCUAACCUCCUUCCCAGCAGGCAAUGACUAAUGCUUAGAGCCAAGCAUUACACCAAGGUUUACCAGGCAGAGCAAAUAAAUGGUCAUCUGAGACAUGCUUUCAAACAGACAUCUCUGUUCUUGGCACGAAGGUUAAGGACUGCGUGGUUGGCUGCUCGGUGGGGGUCCAGGCUGUGUGAAGGUCACACGUGUAAGUGGAUUAUGGGCUCAUUCAUCUCUACAGGGCAAGCCUGGAGAAGUUUUUUCUUGACUUACUAGAAAGAGAAGUAAAAGGCUGAGGAAGGCAUCGGGCGGUG